rnacentral:pre_miRNA from 1 species
ACAACAUUCGGACCGUCGGUCUACCGAGCUAACAUCACCCGCUCGGUGGAAGAUCUUUCCUCCGUCGC